rnacentral:rRNA from 1 species
AUUGAACGCUGGCGGCAGGCCUAACACAUGCAAGUCGAGCGAGCGGCGGACGGGUGAGUAAUGUCUGGGAGACUGCCUGAUGGAGGUGGAUAACUACUGGAAACGGUAGCUAAUACCGCAUACCAUCAGAUGUGCCCAGCUGGGAUUAGCUAGUGGGUGGGGUACCGGCGAACCUAGGCGACGAUCACUAGCUGGUCUGAGAGGAUGACCAGCCACACUGGAACUGAGACACGGUCCAGACUCCUACGGGAGGAAGCAGUGGGGAAUAUUGCACAAUGGGCGCAAGCCUGAUGCAGCCAUGCCGCGUGUGUGAAGAAGGCCUUCGGGUUGUAAAGCACUUUCAGCGGGGAGGCGUUACCCGCAGAAGAAGCACCGGCUAACUCCGUGCCAGCAGCCGCGGUAAUAC